UGGGGGAUAUUGCACAAUGGGCGAAAGCCUGAUGCAGCGACGCCGCGUGGGGGAUGAAGGCUUUCGGGUUGUAAACCUCUUUCGCUAUCGAACAAGGCCCGCUUAGGGUGGGUUGAGGGUAGGUGGAGAAGAAGCGCCGGCUAACUACGUGCCAGCAGCCGCGGUAAUACGUAGGGCGCGAGCGUUGUCCGGAAUUAUUGGGCGUAAAGGGCUUGUAGGCGGCUUGUUGCGCCUGCUGUGAAAACGCGGGGCUUAACUUCGCGCGUGGAGUGGGUACGGGCAGGCUUGAGUGUGGUAGGGGUGACUGGAAUUCCAGGUGGAGCGGUGGAAUGCGCAGAUAUCUGGAGGAACACCGAUGGCGAAGGCAGGUCACUGGGCCAUUACUGACGCUGAGGAGCGAAAGCAUGGGUAGCGAACAGG
rnacentral:rRNA from 1 species